GUGGGGAAUCUUCCGCAAUGGGCGAAAGCCUGACGGAGCAACGCCGCGUGAGUGAAGAAGGCCUUCGGGUUGUAAAGCUCUGUCUUUGGGGACGAAAAAAAUGACGGUACCCAAGGAGGAAGCCACGGCUAACUACGUGCCAGCAGCCGCGGUAAUACGUAGGUGGCAAGCGUUGUCCGGAAUUAUUGGGCGUAAAGCGCGCGCAGGCGGGAUAUCAAGUCUGUCUUAAAAGUGCGAGGCUCAACCUCGUGAGGGGACAGAAACUGGUAUUCUUGAGUGUCGGAGAGGAAAGUGGAAUUCCAAGUGUAGCGGUGAAAUGCGUAGAGAUUUGGAAGAACACCAGUGGCGAAGGCGACUGCCUGGACCGAUAUUGACGCUGAGACGCGAAAGCGUGGGGAGCAAACAGGAUUAGAAACCCGGGUAGUCC
rnacentral:rRNA from 1 species